rnacentral:rRNA from 1 species
AGCGAACGCUGGCGGCAGGCCUAACACAUGCAAGUCGAGCGCUCGUAGCAAUACGAGAGCGGCAGACGGGAGAGUAACACGUGGGAACGUACCCUUUGGUUCGGAACAACACAGGGAAACUUGUGCUAAUACCGAAUAACGCCCUUACGGGGAAAGAUUUAUCGCCAAAGGAUCGGCCCGCGUCUGAUUAGCUAGUUGGUGGGGUAACGGCUCACCAAGGCGACGAUCAGUAGCNGGUCUGAGAGGAUGACCAGCCUCAUUGGGACUGAGACACGGCCCAAACUCCUACGGGAGGCAGCAGUGGGGAAUAUUGGACAAUGGGCNCAAGCCUGAUCCAGCCAUGCCGCGU